GGGGUGCCUUGCAGGUUGAAAUGAAUAAUCACAUGCCUCGGAUGUGGUGGUAGGGAUUUGUGAGAACUUGGGUUAGCCAAUCCCAAGCUAACACAUGGCAACCAUUCAAUGGCUUGGCUAGAUGUGGCAUUAGAUCUAAGCCAUUCCUACUAACCAUAAAUAGUGGAUCACCUCAUUCGACCUCACUUUCUUUAGCUACUACUGGGUCUAACGAUUUUCGAUGAGAGUUUGGCAGCUUUUUGACAUGUCUUCAAUAACUUUCAGCGAUCUUUUGAUAGGAGCUCCAUCAAUCAAUCCGAGAUUAGCUCUGCUUCAGAUCGGCCCCAUCCUCUAUUUUUUUCCCAUUUUCUCUUUUUCAAAAAUUAUUUUUUCAAAAUUCUACCAAGAUGAGCGGUACUCUUAGCAUGGCCAGGAGUUGGUUCGCUGAUCAAGAACUGUCUUGGAGCCAAGAGGCAUUCUCCUUCUUGAAGGAUGAUUUUGAAGAGUCUGAGGUCGAAGAUGAAGAAGUCCUUAACCCUAGGUGCUUUCAGUCCAUCCUCAGCCUUGAGGACUUGGAGCUGAUCCAAGCUCAAUUUCAAAUCUCAACCGAGUAUCAAUUAAAAGCUCUCAACUUGAGUGGUAGGAUCUAUGACUUGCCAUGAGGUCAGCUUGGUCUCUACAAGGAGACCCUUAGAGGCAGCUGUGGCUACCCCUUAUCUUUUUUUGUUCAUCUUUUUUGUUCCCUUAA
rnacentral:lncRNA from 1 species